rnacentral:ncRNA from 2 species
UGCUUAUAGAGAAAGACGGAGGGAUUAGACCCUGCGAUGUCUUAGCAACCUGUACUUACAAGGUGCUACAUUCUACUGCAACCAAACUUAGCGGUUGCAGACAGAUAAGCG